rnacentral:rRNA from 1 species
CUGUGUGACUGCGUACCUUUUGUAUAAUGGGUCAGCGACUUAUAUUCUGUAGCAAGGUUAACCGAAUAGGGGAGCCGAAGGGAAACCGAGUCUUAACUGGGCGUUAAGUUGCAGGGUAUAGACCCGAAACCCGGUGAUCUAGCCAUGGGCAGGUUGAAGGUUGGGUAACACUAACUGGAGGACCGAACCGACUAAUGUUGAAAAAUUAGCGGAUGACUUGUGGCUGGGGGUGAAAGGCCAAUCAAACCGGGAGAUAGCUGGUUCUCCCCGAAAGCUAUUUAGGUAGCGCCUCGUGAAUUCAUCUCCGGGGGUAGAGCACUGUUUCGGCAAGGGGGUCAUCCCGACUUACCAACCCGAUGCAAACUGCGAAUACCGGAGAAUGUUAUCACGGGAGACACACGGCGGGUGCUAACGUCCGUCGUGAAGAGGGAAACAACCCAGACCGCCAGCUAAGGUCCCAAAGUCAUGGUUAAGUGGGAAACGAUGUGGGAAGGCCCAGACAGCCAGGAUGUUGGCUUAGAAGCAGCCAUCAUUUAAAGAAAGCGUAAUAGCUCACUGGUCGAGUCGGCCUGCGCGGAAGAUGUAACGGGGCUAAACCAUG